rnacentral:rRNA from 1 species
CACCAGCGCCACUAGUGGGAGCCACAUUUAUUAGGCCUAAAGCGUUCGUAGCCGGUUUGGUAAAUCUUCUGUGAAAUCGUUGCGCUUAACGUAACGGAUGCGGGAGACACUGCCGAACUAGGAACCGGGAGGAGUCAGAGGUAUGGGUAGGGGAGCGGUAAAAUGCUAUAAUCCUGCCUAGACCACCUGUGGCGAAGGCGUCUGACUAGAACGGAUUCGACGGUGAGGGACGAAAGCUAGGGGAGCGAUC